rnacentral:lncRNA from 1 species
CGACACUCGUGGCACACCAAUCUCACUUCCCAAACCCUAGGUAGAAACCCUAGGGUACACACUAGAAACCCUGCGCUCAAUUUUCUUUCUUUUCUUUCUUUUUCUCUCGAAAGGUUUUGGACCUUCACCUUGCGCACAAACUUUCCUCACGCCCCAAAAUUUCUCUCCUAAAAUUUCUACGCACGUCCCACUUUUAUCCUCUUUUUAAAACAACGUCGAACGUGUCUUAUCCGCAUGAGAGGAUAAAGAUAAGUGGUUGCACAUUUGAAUUCAAAUCAAAUUUGAAUUCAAAUGCAAAACCAACUCAUCCCUAUCCACUUGUGCUGAGAAGAGAAGGGGCGUGAGUUGAUUUGUGUGUAGAGAGUUUACACAAAAAAUAUUUUCUCGUGUAAAAUAUGGGGCGCACAAGAUAAGACCAUGGCGCAUGGAUUAGUUGGUUGCUCAUUCAAAUUCAAACUUUCUUUUGAAUUUGAAUGGCCAACCAACUUAUUUUUAUCCAGAUAUUUGGCACACAAGGGUGGACGUGGGAUGGCUUCUGCGUGGAGAAAAUUCAUGAGAAGUUGCUUCUCGUGAAUUUAAAUAUGCACAGAAGAAGUGAGGUGGCGCAGGGAGAAAAGUCAAGGUGGUUUGAACCUAAUUGAGCCAACCUAAUCUAAAUAGGUUAAGCACAAUUAGAAUAAAUUAAAUCUAACUUAAUUAGGCUUAAUUAGGCUCAAUAAAAUUCUAAUCAAAUCAGGAAUUAACUAAACCUAACCCUUGAUCAAAUCAGGGACUAAACCACCUUAGCGAUUAGGUCAACAUUUAACCUAAUCGGAUCAAUCCAAACUGAAUCCAAUUCAAUUGGAUUUGAUCCAAAAAUAAUUACUCAAUCAAAUUGAGUUAAUUAGCGAUCAAAUC